rnacentral:lncRNA from 10 species
GUUCACAUAAUUUUAAUUAAUGUCAUUUUAAUAUUACUAAAAUUAUAUUACUUUAUUAUUUUACAAGCUUUAAAAUUGUCGCAAGGCCAAACAAAACGUAUCUGUGAGCUGGAAAUAUGUGGGGCACUGGGGACAGAGGCAGAGUGUCUCGAUGGCCUCUGCUGGCAUGUGGUGCCUGGCAUGUUGUAGGCAGUCAGCAAACAGUUCCUGAAUGAAUGAAUAAAUGACUGGAUGGAUAAGUGAAUGAAUGAAAGGGUUGGCAGGAUGCCCUGGUUCCCACGGGGCUGGGAUGCUCACGUUUGCCCCGUAUCCCAAGAGAGAACACUGUGUCCAGAGGGAGGUGGUGGAGCUGGCAUGGACACAGGGCUGGCUGGCGGCCACCCGCGGCCAGGAGCAGGACUGGGGAGGCCAGGCGCUGCUUGGAUCAGCCUUGGAGCCCCUAUGGGCACUCCGGUUCUCCAGGCAACAGCUUCCAGUCCUUUAGCCCCUCAUGUCACGGUUUAACACACACACAAGCCCCAAAAGAGGCCCCCCACUGCACCCCUCAACGUCCUCUCUGUGCAGCUUUUCCCAGCCCUUCACAUCUGCAGGAGACUCAGUCCUGAGAGGCCAGGCCGGGAUGGGCGGGGGCUAAGAAGGGAGGGAGGAACCAAGGUUUCUCCUCCAGCCCAGGGAGCCAGGGGCUGGCAUUCUGUGUCCAGGACUUCGGGCCCUCUGUGAGCCUCUGUCCGCCAAGGCGAUGGAGCUGUGUUUGGAGUCCCUCGUCUUUGGCAGCGGCUGGGGCCAAAGCCCGGGCAAGACCAACGCCUUCGGCACCCGGACUCAGGCUCCGUCCUCUCUGCCAGCGUGCGGCUACAAUGACUCGACAUGGCAGGUGGGCAAGCACAGCACGCCCCAACAGACAUGCUUUAUUUAAUAUGUACUAAAAAUACAGCAGGCCUGUGAAACCCACAGGUGCAAUUGCUUAAAAUGAGGCUAAGGUAGACGUGUGAAUGGUUAAUAAUGAGUUGAUUAAAAUAUUCAGAAAUCAUCUACUGGAGACGGGCAAACUGCAAAAUGGUAGCAUGGGAGCAACUGAUGUUCGAGAAAGCCCAGGCUCCGGCAAGCCGUGGGUUUGAAUUUACACAUGCGCACAUAAUGGGUAUGAAUAAACCUUUCUUCAAAAAAACCAGAUCAAGUCAAGGCAGUUAUUUGCUGUGGGCAGGUGCCAAGGCUGGCUGCUUCAGUCCCCACGCGAGUCGCCCCCGAGCCUGCUUCUGCAGCCCAGCCUGGAAAGUGCAAGGCACUUGGAAAGGAGCCACGCCCAACGCCCUGUACCAGCGGCCUCCCGGACACCAACAGCGUCCUCUGCGCCUGCUGCAGCUUGUCCCUUAGUCCUCCCUGGACAGAGGGCGUGAAGUUGGCUGCGCCAACAGGACGCGGCCCGCUCACUUCGGGGCUCAUUGUCCUGGACACACAGUCAGGGCUGGACGCCUCCAGCAGCCCCACGCUUCACCCCAAGGUCCGCAAACCUGACAACUUCGGAGGUAGGGAUAUCUUGACACAGUCUGAAAACAAACCAUUUAAAACUUUUUUUCUCAAAAAAUUAAAAUAAUUUUUUUCUGCUUACAAAAUCUAUAAAUUCAGUUCAAUAUCAAUGAAAAUCGCAACAGGAUGUUGACACUUGAGAAGCUGAUUUGAAAGUUCAUCUGAAAGAGAAAAUAUAUAGGAAUCCUGAAGAUGAUUUCGAAAACCUCCAAAAAGACUUCAGUAAUUCACACAGAAAAUCCAGAAACAGAUUCAUGUUUAUGGGGAAAUUUAGUAUUUGAUACAGGAGACCUUUCAAAGCCAAGCUGGAAAGAUGGAAGGUCAACAGAGGCUUUGGGGAAAACUCACUAUCCAUUUUGAAACCAAUGUUAGAAUCUUCUUACCAUUUGCAAGAAUAAACUCCAGGUGUAUUAAAGAGCUAAACAUUUAAAAAAUCUAUAAAAGUUUUAAAGCCAAAUAUGGAAGAAUAUUUUUAAAAUCCUAUGGUGAAGAAGGCUUUUACUAAGCAGCAAACAAAACCUGGAAACCGUAAAGGAAAUGACUGACAGAUUUGAAUAUUGCAAGAACUAAAUGAAUGCCUCCUUAAACAAAUUAAAGGACAAAUUCCAGGCAGGGAGAAAAUAGUUUACAAUAGAAGUAAUGUGCCAAUGGUUAAUAUCUGUGUUGCAUAAACAUGUCUUUCCAAUCAAUAAGAAAAGAGUAGGAAAUGGGUAAGGAUUUAACAGGCAAUUCACAGAAGACAAAGUAACCGGCCCCUAAAUGGGAGCAUAUCCUCAACUUCACUAGUAAUAAAGGAAACGAAUUUAAAAGACGAUACAUUUCUCACUUCUUCUCUCCUUAUAGCUGUAUUCCACCUUUGACCAUACAGCCUGUUUUUAUUUAUCGUAAGCAUAGGUUAAUAAAUACAGGGCUUACCAUGUUAAUAUCUUCUUUCUAUGGAUGCGUAACAACUUAUUUUAUCAUUCCGUUUGUGACUGAAAUUGAAUUUCUUUCUGUAAACCUGAAAAUAUCUGAGACAAGCCUCGAUCAACUUAGAAGUUUACUUUGCCAAGAUUAAGGACACGUCUUGGGAGACAGGUCUGUGCCUUUCUCCAAAGAUGAUUUCGAGGGCUUCAGUAUUUAAAGGAAAAAGCCAGCUGGAGGGGACAGAGGGAGGGUAUGGUCACAUUACUGAAUCCAAAUGUUGCAAAAGAAAAGGAGCAUGUAGGGGAAUGGUCAGUUAUGUGUUCGUCCCAUGCUCAGUAACUCGACUCUUCACACAAGAUAAGGCCACUGCCUUCAGAGAAGGUGACAGAGGGCCAUGUCUGAAACAUUCUCCCACAACCAGGAACCCUCAGCAGCCGCUGAAGAGGAAAGGCAGUUAAAUGGAAAGACUUCUGAGCAAGUGGAGGAAAAGUCACGUGUGACCUAGGGAGGGGCUCCCACAGGAAGGGGCAAUGCCCUUGCCCUGUUCACCUAGCCUCCAGGUGGCUUCCCACUUGAAAUUUCAGAGGAUGGCAGAAACCUACUUACAAGGAAAUGAAAGAGGGCACAGCAACCUUAAGACCAGAGCAGCCCACGAUAUUUUUUAAUGAGGGCAAAAAUAGAAGACUUGCAAAAGACCCCUGAAAAUAAUGCCUGGAAGCUGCGAAACAUCAGACUGACACCGCACAAAAGAGGUCCAGCUGAGCAGGAGAAAAGCUUGAGAAGCAUCCAGAACAAUGUAGGUGGAGAGGCUAAGAAGAAAGAGGAGCCCACAUGGAAUGAAUAACCAAGGUCGGGACAGAGGAAGGUUCGCCAGAACUGGGAGGGCUGAAAUUGGACAUUGAGAUAAAUUAAAGAGUGUUCUUUAAAACUGUCAAGACUUUGGCUGGUCAAUAAGUAAACUGCAAACGAGUGUUCCUAAACCACAGCAGCAAUGCUCCCUGGAGGAGGGAAGGAGGCCGGGGCUGCCACUCUCCCAGGUGGCUGCGUCCCGGCCUUUGCCAUUGAUGUGUGCUUUCUCCAGGCUCACAGAUGUCCCUGGGCCGGUUGCAUCUGUGACCAGGACUCUGCCACCUGCCUGUGGCUUGCUGAUCAGCUGGUCACCCAGGAAUGUUAGGGAUGAACAGAGACCUAGAACUCAGGCUCCAUGGAUCUGGCAGCACCAGGAGACGAGGUUUCAAAUCUCAUGGCUGGGCCAGCCAGCCAGGUGCCCUGGAACUGUUGUGAUCCCUGCUCCUUGCCGGGCUUAGCCUCCUCUUACUUCAGCCCAGAAGUCCCCGAGUACCCACUCAACAAAUGCCAUCCCUUUAAUUUCUGUGGCCUGCUGCCAUCACGGCUCGCCUAAUUCAUUCCCUCCACACCCUAAGUGUCCACGGAAGUGGCUGAAACAGUAAAACCACAGAGGAGCAUUCAUUCCAGUCCCCAAG